UUAAAUAUGGAACGCCGUUUGUAGCAGCGAAAACAGACACCCCUUUUUUCUUUCGCACCCCUCUUUGUCUCGUUGUCUGCUUUAGUCGUCUGCUAACCGUUGCCAGCCCACACAGCUGACUGCUCAGGGCUCACAACAGUCGGAAGCCAUUCACCGAGCCAUUCACGUGCUCAUUGUAAUUAUCAGAAGGAGCAUGCAGUUUUAACUGUGUUUUACCUGUAGUCCAGGAGUGAUUAUUCUUAAAGAAAUUUCAUUAAAAUAUAAGAUAAAUUGUGAUUUCAACAUCGAGGAAGAACCGCGUUCUUUUUGGAAAGCAUUAAGGCUUUUUGUGUUCCUGUCAACUAUUGGGCAACUUGUCACUUUUCAAGACACCAGUUAUCAUCAGUGUUAUACUUUUUAUUUGUGACAACUACUGGCCUGCUUGCUUUUUAGUGAUGGAACUGAAAUUGAACGUUAUGAUCGUCGCAGAAAUUUGGAUAGUCGCAAUUCUCACAACUCAAAAAAGAAAGAUCAUCGAAGCCGCUCUCCUAUCGACAAGAGAAGUUUAUCCAAUGUAUCCAGUUCCUCAUAUUCUGACAACGGGUCCCCAUCUUACCACAACCGAUCUCGUUCUUCUUCGCCUGAUUUUCCUGGGCCAAAAUACAGUCAGAUGGUUAAUCGAUCCCUAAAGGACCUUGUGAAAGAAUCAAAGAAAGCUGUAAACUCAAGUUACGGUUCAUACAACCAAGACGGAAAACUUUCAAUUGGGAAAUCGACUGUCAAGUGUCAACAGGUGGAAUUCUAUUGUUUAAGAAAGUUGGAGUUUCCCAUUCGAAUCCCGGAAGACCAGGAAGAAAUAAAAUUAUCGAACGCUGGUUUGGGUUCAAAAGUUAUUGAAGUUCCCCUGAACCAAUCAGGCAAAGAAAUGAAAAAUCUGAUUCACUCAAACUUUCCGUCUUUAAAGGGAGACUUCAUCAUUGCAUGAAGAUUGAAAAGAGGAGAUAAAGUUCUAGAACCUGUCUUUAAAGAAGUACCGACAAUGGCUCAGCUCUUACAGAAAGCUCCGACAAAAACUAGCACAAUGUAUGUCGUCCCUUACGAGGAAAUUGAUAUCGCUGAUCGGGAGGAACGAGUCCGAUGUUCAAUAUGCAAUAAUUACAUUAAGGUUUCAAAGCGAUUUGAACACCACUUGAAGUGCUCUGAGAAAAAUAAUGCUUAACUUCCAUGAAUGUGAUGCUAUUAAUUCAGUGCCAGUUUACACCAGGCCAAAUUUUAUGUAAUUCAAUUAUCACAUUGCCACUAUUCAAUUGCAAGUUCUUCAUUGCUGCAAUUACCAGGAUGUGUGUUUUUAACUUUAACCAUUUUGUUUGAAUGUUUUUAUGUAAUCCAGUUAUUGCGGAAGAUUCGGCUCGUGUUUGUUUAACAAUACAACGAACUGAACCACA
rnacentral:lncRNA from 1 species